rnacentral:tRNA from 1 species
AUUUAAAUAGCUUAUAUGUAGAGCGUAGCGUUGAAGUUGCUAAUGAGACUUUGAGUCUUUAAAUA